AUUGAACGCUGGCGGCAGGCCUAACACAUGCAAGUCGAGCGGAGCGGCGGACGGGUGGGGAAUGCCUAGGAAUUUGCCUGGUAGUGGGGGAUACCGUCGGGGAACGGACCCUAAUGACGCAUACUAUCAAAUGAGCCUCGGUGGGAUUAGCUAGUUGGUGGGGUAAAGGCCUACCAAGGCGACGAUCCGUAACUGGUCUGAGAGGAUGAUCAGUCACACUGGGACUGAGACACGGUCCAGACUCCUACGGGAGGCAGCAGUGGGGAAUAUUGGGCAAUGGGCGAAAGCCUGAUCCAGCCAUGCCGCGUGUGUGAAGAAGGUCUUCGGAUUGUAAAGCACUUUAAGUUGGGAGGCGUUACCAACAGAAUAAGCACCGGCUAACUUCGUGCCAGCAGCCGCGGUAAUUC
rnacentral:rRNA from 1 species